rnacentral:lncRNA from 1 species
ACCACUUUAAAGGAAUCUGGAGCUGAUGACUCAAGAAAUGUCCUUCCUCCUAAGAAAUUAUCCUCCCAUCUGAGAUUAGCAGCAUCUAAUCUCAGUUUUCUCCACUGCUGACCAGCAUCAGCAACACAGUUCUAGUCCUGUUUUGGGUAUCAAAUCCAAAUCCUGUAAGCAAAAGGUCAAGGAUUCAGAAGUGAAAGGAAAGACUGUGGCUCUAACUUUGCCAAAGUGAAAAGUACAGACCUCUGCCAUCAGUGAAGAAAGAACCCAGAUCUGAUAAGAGCUUCAAACAGGCUCAGCACCUCCUGGCACACAUAGAGCGGCAUCACGUUGCCCCAAGAAAAUCACAUCUCUACACAUCAGACCCUUUCCAGUCCAUUUUGCCCCAUCCACAAAAUGAAAAUGCCACUUUAUUUACUAAAUCUAAAAAUUCUGUUGGGAGGCAAAGGAGAGUU